rnacentral:rRNA from 1 species
UACAGAGGUGGCAAGCGUUGUUCGGAAUUACUGGGCGUAAAGGGCGCGUAGGCGGCUCGACAAGUCCCGCGUGAAAGCCCACGGCUUAACUGUGGAACUGCUUAGUAUACUGCCGAUCUUGAGUCAUCUAGGGGCAGCCGGAACAGAUGGUGGAGCGGUGAAAUGCGUAGAUAUCAUCUGGAACGCCAAUGGUGCAGACAGGGCUGCUGGGGAUGUACUGACGCUGAGGCACGAAAGCCAGGGGAGCGAACGGG